GACGUAGGAUGCGAGCGUUGUCCGGAUUUAUUGGGCGUAAAGAGUUCGUAGGUGGUUCGUUAAGUCUGGUGUAAAAGACUGGGGCUCAACCCUGGGAUCGCACUGGAUACUGGCGGACUGGAGUGUGGUAGAGGCAAGCGGAAUUCCCAGUGUAGCGGUGAAAUGCGUAGAUAUUGGGAAGAACACCAACGGCGAAGGCGGCUCGCUGGACCGGUUCUGACGCUGAUGCGCGAAAGCGUGGGGAGCAAACGGG
rnacentral:rRNA from 1 species